rnacentral:piRNA from 1 species
UGUAACCAAGAGAAGGGCAGGUUUCUC